CAGGCACCGAAAUCCCUCCCAAUGUCACCAUUUACAUCAACAAUCUCAACGAGAAAAUCAAAAUCGAUGAAUUGAAAAAAUCACUCCACGCGGUGUUCUCUCAAUUCGGGAAGAUUUUGGAGAUUUUGGCAUUCAAGACGCUGAAACACAAAGGGCAAGCUUGGGUCGUUUUCGAGGAUGUUAAGUCAGCUACUAAUGCUAUGAGGCAAAUGCAGUCUUUCCCCUUUUAUGAUAAGCCCAUGAGAAUACAAUAUGCAAAAGCAAAAUCGGACAUCAUUGCGAAAGCUGAUGGCACUUUUGUUCCAAGGGAAAAACGAAAGAAGCAUGAAGAGAAAGGAAAAAAGAAGAAAGAGCAGCAUGAUGCUAAUCAAGCUGGGAUUGGUCUGGCUCCUGCUUAUGCUGGUGCCUAUGGUGCAACUCCUCCGUUAUCACAAAUACCCUAUCCAGGUGGUGCAAAAUCUAUGGCUCCUGAGGCUCCAGCUCCACCAAACAAUAUACUCUUUAUUCAAAAUCUUCCGAAAUCUUCCCAGUGAGACAACUCCAAUGAUGCUGCAAAUGUUAUUCCAGCAGUACCCUGGAUUUAAGGAGGUUAGGAUGGUGGAAACAAAGCCAGGGAUUGCCUUUGUAGAGUACGGAGAUGAGAUGCAGUCAACAGUUGCAAUGCAUGGACUUCAGGGUUUCAAGAUACAGCAAAAUUCAAUGUUAAUUACCUAUGCCAAGAAAUAGUUAACGAUGCUUCUGUCUUUUGCU
rnacentral:misc_RNA from 1 species